rnacentral:rRNA from 1 species
CGGGUGGUAAUGCCGGAUGCUCCAGUUGAUCGCAUGGUCUUUUGGGAAAGCUUUCGCGGUAUGGGAUGGGGUCGCGUCCUAUCAGCUUGACGGCGGGGUAACGGCCCACCGUGGCUUCGACGGGUAGCCGGCCUGAGAGGGCGACCGGCCACAUUGGGACUGAGAUACGGCCCAGACUCCUACGGGAGGCAGCAGUGGGGAAUAUUGCACAAUGGGCGCAAGCCUGAUGCAGCGACGCCGCGUGAGGGAUGGAGGCCUUCGGGUUGUAAACCUCUUUUAUCGGGGAGCAAGCGAGAGUGAGUUUACCCGUUGAAUAAGCACCGGCUAACUACGUGCCAGCAGCCGCGGUAAUACGUAGGGUGCAAGCGUUAUCCGGAAUUAUUGGGCGUAAAGGGCUCGUAGGCGGUUCGUCGCGUCCGGUGUGAAAGUCCAUCGCUUAACGGUGGAUCCGCGCCGGGUACGGGCGGGCUUGAGUGCGGUAGGGGAGACUGGAAUUCCCGGUGUAACGGUGGAAUGUGUAGAUAUCGG